rnacentral:tRNA from 2 species
GGGCGGAUAGCUCAGCGGUAGAGCGUCGCCCUUACAAGGCGAGGGUCACAGGUUCGAAACCUGUUCCGCCCA